GUGCCUCAGGGUUAUUGACAGUCCGUGCUGCCGCCGCUGCUGCUACCCAAAUGGUCGAUGCGUCGUGGAAAUCGGCCUUUAUACUGUGGCGAAGGCAGCGCCGGAGCAGGACGAUGUCCUCACUACGCAGGGUCGGUGACACACCAGAACAGUUGAUCCUGGCUCUCUCGGGCAAGUGGCAGAUUGCGUCUCAAGUUCGCACAGUUACACCAGUCACACUUUCUUGUAGCCCGGUUAACCUGCGCGGAAAUGGCAAGGUGCCUCAGGGUUAUUGACAGUCCGUGCUGCCGCCGCUGCUGCUGCUGCCCAAAUGGUCGAUGCGUCGUGGAAAUCGGCCUUUAUACUGUGGCGAAGGCAGCGCCGGAGCAGGACGAUGUCCUCACUUUGCAGGGUCGGUGACACACCAGAUCAGUUGAUACUGGCUCUCUUGGGCAAGUGGCAGAUUGCGUUGCAAGUUCGCACAGUCACACCAGUCACACUUUCUUGUAUCCCGGUUAACGUGCGCGGAAAUGGCAAGGUGCCUCAGGGUUAUUGACAGUCCGUGCUGCCGCCGCUGCUGCUUCUGCCCAAAUGGUCGAUGCGUCGUGGAAAUCGGCCUUUAUACUGUGGCGAAGGCAGCGCCGGAGCAGGACGAUGUCCUCACUUUGCAGGGUCGGUGACACACCAGAUCAGUUGAUACUGGCUCUCUUGGGCAAGUGGCAGAUUGCGUUGCAAGUUCGCACAGUCAUACCAGUCACACUUUCUUGUAUCCCGGUUAACGUGCGCCGAAAUGGCAACGUGCCUCAGGGUUAUUGACAGUCCGUGCUGCCGCCGCUGCUGCUGCUGCCCAAAUGGUCGAUGCGUCGUGGAAAUCGGCCUUUAUACUGUGGCGAAGGCAGCGCCGGAGCAGGACGAUGUCCUCACUUUGCAGGGUCGGUGACACACCAGAUCAGUUGAUACUGGCUCUCUUGGGCAAGUGGCAGAUUGCGUUGCAAGUUCGCACAGUCACACCAGUCACGCUUUCUUGUAUCCCGGUUAACGUGCGCGGAAAUGGCAAGGUGCCUCAGGGUUAUUGACAGUCCGUGCUGCCGCCGCUGCUGCUUCUGCGCAAAUGGUCGAUGCGUCGUGGAAAUCGGCCUUUAUACUGUGGCGAAGGCAGCGCCGGAGCAGGACGAUGUCCUCACUUUGCAGGGUCGGUGACACACCAGAUCAGUUGAUACUGGCUCUCUUGGGCAAGUGGCAGAUUGCGUUGCAAGUUCGCACAGUCACACCAGUCACACUUUCAUGUAUCCCUGUUA